rnacentral:lncRNA from 1 species
GUUUUUUUCUAAUUUUUAUUAUAUAAGUAUGUGUAUUUAUUGCAUCACUUUCAAUGUUUUAAACUUUCUAUCAACAAUAGCAUAUUUUAUAUAUCCUUUUCUAGUCAAUCUUGUUUUGAUGUAUAUUCAAGUUCUUUUAUGUACUGAUUUUUGUUUUUUUAUUUUAGUUGACUAACAGUUUAUUUUUUCAUCUGUUAAUUGACCUUUAAAUUAUUAUUUUUAUAAAGUUUUACCACCAAUGCUACCAUAAGCACUACUGAACGUGUCUCUUAAUGCACAUGUGUAAACAUUUCUCAAAGUCAUAGAUUUGAGAAUAAAGUAACUGUACUUUGAGAUAAGUUCUUUUGAUUUUUACUUGGAUUUAAGUUUAUUCAAAUAACUACUGGAUAACUACAUUUUUAUAACAAAUGCAAAAUUUGUAUGAUUUCUAGGAAAGAAUAAAUACCAUUACUUUGUCUCCCUCUGGCAUAAUUCUGUUGUCCAAUUAAAUUAAAAUUUAGGACAUUUCUUAUUAUUUUGAAAUUCUUAUGUUCAAUAAAUGUAAAUUAGUGAGAAUUCACUAGAAGAAAUAUAUGUGUUUGGCUUUCACUCGCUAUAGUUUUAUAUAUCUAUUUUACUACUUAGACUAUAUUAAUUGUCAUAAAUAUCAAAAUUA